rnacentral:rRNA from 1 species
GAUGAACGCUGGCGGCGUGCCUAAUACAUGCAAGUCGAACGCAUUGUGGUUGAAAUGAUAUGAAGAACUUGUUCAGAUUUGAUUUUCAACAUUGCAAUGAGUGGCGAACGGGUGAGUAACACGUGGGAAACCUACCUCUUAGCAGGGGAUAACAUUUGGAAACAAAUGCUAAUACCGUAUAAUAAUUAAAACCGCAUGGUUUUAGUUUAAAAGAUGGUCUUGCUAUCACUAAGAGAUGGUCCCGCGGUGUAUUAGUUAGUUGGUGAGGUAAUGGCUCACCAAGACAAUGAUACAUAGCCGAGUUGAGAGACUGACCGGCCACAAUGGGACUGAGACACGGCCCAUACUCCUACGGGAGGCAGCAGUAGGGAAUCUUCCACAAUGGACGAAAGUCUGAUGGAGCAACGCCGCGUGUGUGAUGAAGGGUUUCGGCUCGUAAAACACUGUUGUAAGAGAAGAAUGACAUUGAGAGUAACUGUUCAAUGUGUGACGGUAUCUUACCAGAAAGGAACGGCUAAAUACGUGCCAGCAGCCGCGGUAAUACGUAUGUUCCAAGCGUUAUCCGGAUUUAUUGGGCGUAAAGCGAGCGCAGACGGUUAUUUAAGUCUGAAGUGAAAGCCCUCGGCUCAACCGAGGAAUUGCUUUGGAAACUGGAUAACUUGAGUGCAGUAGAGGAAAGUGGAACUCCAUGUGUAGCGGUGAAAUGCGUAGAUAUAUGGAAGAACACCAGUGGCGAAGGCGGCUUUCUGGACUGUAACUGACGUUGAGGCUCGAAAGUGUGGGUAGCAAACAGGAUUAGAUACCCUGG